AAUUCAGAGCUCUUCAUCCCUCUUCCGCGCCACACCCCCGGGGGAGCACGCAGAGAGUUCAAAUGGGGAGUUCCGAAAGAAUCCAAUGACGACGAGCGACGUUACUUGCUCUUGAUUAGACGAGAGGGAUCAAAAGAGGAGAAACUGGAUGAGGAGGAGAAGCGGCUCCAAGAAAUCCAAGAAAGCAAGAAAGAGCUGCCAGAGAUUUAAUGUUGCACGCAAAGAAUUCGAAUGGCGAGGUCACCAAAAAAUGGAAAGAGUAGGAAUAAGAUGAGGAGAUGGAGCGGCUCCAAGAAGAUUAGCGUCCAAGAGAGCAAGAAUGGGCAGCAAGAGAUUUAAUGUUGUAUGCGAAGAAUUCGAAUGGCAAGGUCAAAAAAAGUCGAAAGAGGAGGAAUAAGAUGAGGAGAUGGAACAGCUCCAAGAAGAUUAGCGUCUAAGAGAACAAGA